GGAGGGAUACCCAAGUGGCCAAAGGGGGCAGACUGUAAAUCUGUUGUCACUGACUUCGAUGGUUCGAAUCCAUCUCCCUCCACCA
rnacentral:tRNA from 1 species